GCCACACGCUCCCCGACAGACGUCCUGACAGCACAGCCCUCACCAUGGACUGGAGAUGGACAGUCCUCUUCCUGGUGGCAGUGGCGACAGGUGUCCACUCCGAGGUCCAGCUUGUGCAGCCUGGGGCUGAGGUGAGGAAGCCUGGGGCCUCCGUGAAGGUGUCCUGCAAGGCUUCCGGAUACACCUUCACCAGCUACAAUAUGCACUGGGUGCGACAGGCCCCAGGACAAGGGCUUGAGUGGAUGGGACGAAUUGACCCUGAAAAUAGUAGCACAAAGUACGCACAGAAGUUCCAGGGCAGAUUCACCAUCACCGCAGACACGUCCACCAGCACAGCCUACAUGGAGCUGAGCAGUCUGAGACCUGAGGACACGGCCGUGUAUUACUGUGCGAGGGACACAAAAAGCAGCAUUUUCAUCAGUGACGACAUAGGCUCCUCCUCCUGGGUGGUCAUUGUACCUGAGGCCACAGAGACUCAGGGGUUCACGUCCUGCAGUUUGCACAGUGGUGGGGAGCUCUCGUUCCAUUGCCCUGGACAGACUUAA